CAAAUUGAGAGUUUGAUCCUGGCUCAGGACGAACGCUGGCGGCGUGCCUAAUACAUGCAAGUCGAGCGAGCUGAAUUCAAAGAUCUUCGGGGUGAUUUGUUGGAACGCUAGCGGCGGAUGGGUGAGUAACACGUGGGCAAUCUGCCUAAAGACUGGGAUACCACUUGGAAACAGGUGCUAAUACCGGAUAACAACAUGAAUCGCAUGAUUCAAGUUUGAAAGGCGGCGUAAGCUGUCACUUUAGGAUGAGCCCGCGGCGCAUUAGCUAGUUGGUGGGGUAAAGGC
rnacentral:rRNA from 1 species